rnacentral:rRNA from 1 species
GAAACGAUGUGGGAAGGCCCAGACAGCCAGGAUGUUGGCUUAGAAGCAGCCAUCAUUUAAAGAAAGCGUAAUAGCUCACUGGUCGAGUCGGCCUGCGCGGAAGAUGUAACGGGGCUAAACUAUGCACCGAAGCUGCGGCAGCGACACUAUGUGUUGUUGGGUAGGGGAGCGUUCUGUAAGCCUGUGAAGGUGUGUCGUGAGGCAUGCUGGAGGUAUCAGAAGUGCGAAUGCUGACAUAAGUAACGAUAAAGCGGGUGAAAAGCCCGCUCGCCGGAAGACCAAGGGUUCCUGUCCAACGUUAAUCGGGGCAGGGUGAGUCGACCCCUAAGGCGAGGCCGAAAGGCGUAGUCGAUGGGAAACGGGUUAAUAUUCCCGUACUUGGUGUUACUGCGAAGGGGGGACGGAGAAGGCUAUGUUGGCCGGGCGACGGUUGUCCCGGUUUAAGCGUGUAGGUGUGUGUUCCAGGUAAAUCCGGUUCACUUUAACACUGAGGCGUGAUGACGAGGCACUACGGUGCUGAAGCAACAAAUGCCCUGCUUCCAGGAAAAGCCUCUAAGCAUCAGGUAACAUCAAAUCGUACCCCAAACCGACACAGGUGGUCAGGUAGAGAAUACCAAGGCGCUUGAGAGAACUCGGGUGAAGGAACUAGGCAAAAUGGUGCCGUAACUUCGGGAGAAGGCACGCUGACACGUAGGUGAAGUGAUUUACUCAUGGAGCUGAAGUCAGUCGAAGAUACCAGCUGGCUGCAACUGUUUAUUAAAAACACAGCACUGUGCAAACACGAAAGUGGACGUAUACGGUGUGACGCCUGCCCGGUGCCGGAAGGUUAAUUGAUGGGGUCAGCGCAAGCGAAGCUCCUGAUCGAAGCCCCGGUAAACGGCGGCCGUAACUAUAACGGUCCUAAGGUAGCGAAAUUCCUUGUCGGGUAAGUUCCGACCUGCACGAAUGGCGUAAUGAUGGCCAGGCUGUCUCCACCCGAGACUCAGUGAAAUUGAACUCGCUGUGAAGAUGCAGUGUACCCGCGGCAAGACGGAAAGACCCCGUGAACCUUUACUAUAGCUUGACACUGAACAUUGAGCCUUGAUGUGUAGGAUAGGUGGGAGGCUUUGAAGUGUGGACGCCAGUCUGCAUGGAGCCGACCUUGAAAUACCACCCUUUAAUGUUUGAUGUUCUAACGUGGACCCGUGAUCCGGGUUGCGGACAGUGUCUGGUGGGUAGUUUGACUGGGGCGGUCUCCUCCUAAAGAGUAACGGAGGAGCACGAAGGUUGGCUAAUCCUGGUCGGACAUCAGGAGGUUAGUGCAAUGGCAUAAGCCAGCUUGACUGCGAGCGUGACGGCGCGAGCAGGUGCGAAAGCAGGUCAUAGUGAUCCGGUGGUUCUGAAUGGAAGGGCCAUCGCUCAACGGAUAAAAGGUACUCCGGGGAUAACAGGCUGAUACCGCCCAAGAGUUCAUAUCGACGGCGGUGUUUGGCACCUCGAUGUCGGCUCAUCACAUCCUGGGGCUGAAGUAGGUCCCAAGGGUAUGGCUGUUCGCCAUUUAAAGUGGUACGCGAGCUGGGUUUAGAACGUCGUGAGACAGUUCGGUCCCUAUCUGCCGUGGGCGCUGGAGAACUGAGGGGGGCUGCUCCUAGUACGAGAGGACCGGAGUGGACGCAUCACUGGUGUUCGGGUUGUCAUGCCAAUGGCACUGCCCGGUAGCUAAAUGCGGAAGAGAUAAGUGCUGAAAGCAUCUAAGCACGAAACUUGCCCCGAG